GCUCUAUCUACUAAAUUUCGAGCCUUUACAACCAAUCUUGAUAAAACAGAAGUUCCAAGAAAUAUUCAGGAAGCUUUGGAGUCACCCAAAUGGAGAGAGGCAGUAAUGGAAGAAAUGAGAGCCUUGAAGAAAAAUGAGACUUGGGAGGUAGUGAAUCUACCAAAAGGAAAGAAAUCAGUAGGUUGCAAAUGGGUGUUCAAUGUGAAGUACAAGGCAGAUGGGACAGUAGAACGGUAUAAAGCUCGUCCAGUCGCCAAAGGGUAUACACAAACAUACGGCAUUGACUACACAGAAACGUUCGCCCCGGUGGCAAAGCUAAAUACAGUUCGGGUUCUUCUAUCCCUUGCAGUGAAUUUAGACUGGCCUCUUCAACAACUUGACGUCAAGAAUGCAUUCUUAAAUGGAGAGUUAGAGGAAGAGGUCUACAUGACAAUACCACCAGGAUUCAACAAAAGUGGGAAGGAAAAUCAGGUUUGUAAACUCAGGAAGUCUCUAUAUGGCCUCAAACAAUCACCGAGGGCAUGGUUUGAUAGGUUUGCAAAAGUGCUGAAGAGUCAGGGAUAUCAGCAGGGGCAAUCAGAUCACACCAUGUUUUUUCAUCAGUCUAGAGAUGGUACUAAGACAAUAUUGAUUGUAUAUGUUGAUGAUAUAAUCCUAACUGGAGACAACAUUGCUGAGAUGGAAAGAUUAAAGAAGUGUUUGGCCGCAGAAUUUGAAAUAAAAGAUCUUGGACAAAUGAGGUAUUUUUUGGGUAUGGAGAUUGCAAGAUCAAAUAAGGGCAUCAGUAUGUCUCAACGGAAAUACAUACUUGACAUGCUAAGAGAAACUGGCAUGUUAGGAUCUAAACCAAGUGACACUCCUAUUGAAUCUGGAAAGAUGAAGGACACAGGGAGCCCAGUGGAAAUAGAUAGAUAUCAAAGAUUAGUUGGAAAGUUGAUCUAUCUCUCACACACUAGACCUGAUAUUGC
rnacentral:lncRNA from 1 species